UAAGUUUCCUGAAGGAACGUUAAAGACGAUGACGUUGAUAGGCCGGGUGUGUAAGCGCAGCGAUGCGUUGAGCUAACCGGUACUAAUGAACCGUGAGGCUUAACCUUACAACGCCGAAG
rnacentral:rRNA from 2 species